GAUGUUUGAGUAAAUGAACCAGCAUAGGAUCUACUUUUGGUGGAAUGAUGGGCAGAGUUCACCAAUCAUCAACCCAGAAGGCUCUUUGGUACAACAGCAUUAACACUCUUGAAAGUGAUAAAGAAUGCAUGAGCACAAAGGUGCUGCUCAUUAAGUUGUGAUAUAUAAUGAUUGUAAUGGAAGCAAGUUGGUCAUUCCGUACUGUUUUGCUUAGUGCACAUGACAUAAACUUAUUCAGAUCAUGGACUUACGGGCAAAAUGUGUGAAGCCAGUCAAUGUAUGUGUUUUUAUACGUGUGAUGUCUACUACCCUGCACACAUCUAGGGUGUUGAGUCCCUAAAUAACGACUUUUUAUGCCUAUUUCCUGAUAACUCUGAUAUCAAUGUGCAAUGCCCCGCUACUAUUCAGUUCAGCUAACAGAUUCAACAAUGGGGAAAUCUUAACACAAGUAAUUUAGUUACAUCUCAAAGAAUAUUAGGUCAUGGAGCAUAGUAAACGAACAUGAGUUUUUUCUUGGCUGUCAAAAUGAUAUUGAGUUUAAAAUGCUUCUCCUAAAGUUAUGUUUCUUGUUUCCUUGAUGUGUAUUUGCAGUUAUGGCUUUCAUUUUCAUGAUGCAAAUACACACAUGAUUAAUGGUCCACCCAUUCUCCAGUCAGUAGUCAAGCACAAAUUUGUAGUCGCGUGUGAUCUGUAUCUUUGAAGAUAGCAUUCCCCAUCCUUACUUUUGAGUGGUUCCUAAUUAAUCCUAGAUUGUAACUAUUGUUUUCAGUAGGAAUCGUAGUCCGAAAGUGCAGAUUGGCUGUGAUGUAAAGCUAUACGUGGUGAAUCAGGUGUGAAAACCCGUGUAUCACAUACCAGCAAAGCAUCACUGAUUAUGUCUAGUGCAUAUAAUCAGUGGACAAUGAAAACACUUUUCAUCACAGUCGUACAGAAGUACUCAGUAUUACAGGCAUACAGUCUUACUCUGUUUUAGCUAAGGUUCCUCUGGAGCUAACAGGGAUACUUACCGGAGGGGUGGACACAUAGCUAAUUACAUGGUAGCUAGGCGAUGGGGUGAAUAAAAUAUUUUCCCAUUCAAAGAUAUUGUUGUGUUACAGCCCAGGUAGCUAUCAGCCUAAUGGCGCUCCGCUUUAUUGGUUUGAGCAUCAUAGCUGAAACUCUUUUAGUAGCUGCAAGAAAAGACAAUGUAAUUAACAAAACUUCCAUGGAGUAUGAUGCAUUAUCUAUUUAUUAAAUUUAAUGGAGGAUUUACCUGGUUGUGUUCUACUCUAUUCAGGCGGAAACAGUUCUUUGGUGCCCUGUGCUUUUUUUCUUCACAUGCCUCUCUCGGUUUUAGUUACUAAUAGGUCAGAUUUUUUGAGAGAGAUGCACAAGGUCAUGGAGCCAAGGAACUGUGCCCU